rnacentral:rRNA from 1 species
GAAGGUCCCAAGCGUUAUCCGGAUUUAUUGGGUUUAAAGGGUGCGUAGGCGGGCUGUUAAGUCAGUGGUGAAAGCUCCAUGCCUAACAUGGAAAUUGCCAUUGAUACUGACGGUCUUGAGUACAUUUGAAGUGGGCGGAAUGUGUCAUGUAGCGGUGAAAUGCUUAGAUAUGACACAGAACACCGAUUGCGAAGGCAGCUCACUAAACUGUAACUGACGCUGAGGCACGAAAGCGCGGGGAGCAAACAGGAUUAGAUACCCUGGUAGUCCGCGCCCUAAACGAUGUUCACUCGAUGUGUGCGAUACACUGUACGCGUCCAAGCAAAAGCAAUAAGUGAACCACCUGGGGAGUACGGCCGCAAGGCUG